GCAUCAAUAGCUGCUAUGGGGAUAAAAGGAGAGAAAGUCAUGGUGUGGCCUCCAUUCUCCUCUGACCUCAAUCCUAUUGAGAACCUUUGGAGCAUCCUCAAGCAAAAGAUCUAUGAGGGUGGGAGGCAGUUUACAUCCAAACAGCAGCUCUUGGAGGCUAUUCUGACAUCUUGCAAACAAAUUCAAGCAAAAACUCACAAGUUCAAUGGAUGCCAGACUUGUGAAGCUGCUAUCAAAUAAGAGGUCCUAUGUUAAAAUGUAACGUGACCUGUUAAAAUGUUUAAAAAGUUAAAAUGUUGUUAUAAGUUUGAUUGAAAUAGCUUUUGAUUUCAGUAAAUAUGCU